UACAGAGGUCCCAAGCGUUGUUCGGAUUCAUUGGGCGUAAAGGGUGUGUAGGUGGCGCCGUAAGUCGGGUGUGAAAUCUCGGGCUUAACUCCGAAACUGCAUUCGAUACUGCGGUGCUUGAGGACUGGAGAGGAGACUGGAAUUCAUGGUGUAGCAGUGAAAUGCGUAGAGAUCAUGAGGAAGACCAGUGGCGAAGGCGGGUCUCUGGACAGUUCCUGACACUGAGACACGAAGGCCAGGGGAGCAAACGGG
rnacentral:rRNA from 1 species